rnacentral:rRNA from 1 species
AGUGGCGAACGGGUGAGUAACACGUGGGCAACCUGCCCAAAAGAGGGGGAUAACACUUGGAAACAGGUGCUAAUACCGCAUAACCAUAGUUACCGCAUGGUAACUAUGUAAAAGGUGGCUAUGCUACCGCUUUUGGAUGGGCCCGCGGCGCAUUAGCUAGUUGGUGGGGUAAAGGCUUACCAAGGCAAUGAUGCGUAGCCGAACUGAGAGGUUGAUCGGCCACAUUGGGACUGAGACACGGCCCAAACUCCUACGGGAGGCAGCAGUAGGGAAUCUUCCACAAUGGGCGAAAGCCUGAUGGAGCAACGCCGCGUGGGUGAAGAAGGUCUUCGGAUCGUAAAACCCUGUUGUUAGAGAAGAAAGUGCGUGAGAGUAACUGUUCACGUUUCGACGGUAUCUAACCAGAAAGCCACGGCUAACUACGUGCCAGCAGCCGCGGUAAUACGUAGGUGGCAAGCGUUAUCCGGAUUUAUUGGGCGUAAAGGGAACGCAGGCGGUCUUUUAAGUCUGAUGUGAAAGCCUUCGGCUUAACCGGAGUAUUGCAUUGGAAACUGGG